CUAGGGCUGAAAGUUUUUGUUUGUCAUCUCAGUAGUGAGUGAAAAAAAUUGAAAACAAACUUGCCAGCUGUCGUUAGGUUUUCAAAUAUGGCGGAUGGUGGAAUCUGACAUAUUGGAUUACCUUCCUUUUACUUACCUUGAUUAUACGGCUUAAAUAGGCUCCUAAAGUCCUAUCGGGAUUCUUGUUUUAAACCACAAUAUAUGGUGCAAGAGUACAUAUUUACUCAUUUUUUUACGUUUUUAUUAACCGUAGUUGAAAAUAUAUAAUUUUUAUUUUUUUAGCCUUUUGUCUUGUCCCUAGCUUAUAACACAUACUUUGAGUGAUUUUUUUUCUCCGUGUAUGUCAGAUAGGAACAUUUUUGAAAUCCCAGUGCGAAAAAUGUCGAGCUCAGGCACACAAGGUUGACCUCAAAUGUCAAAGUAGAACUAUAUACCAUUUUACUUAUUUCAAAUUUUCUCAUUAUUCCUUUGUUUUUCAAGUUCGAGUAAAGUACAAUUCCGAUUAGAAUACCAUGCUUGAUCGUAUUAUUCAAUAUAAGCGAGAUUUCGUCUUUAAUUUUAGGACCCUAUUUGUUUGGAUUUUUGCUCUUCACGCUAAGAUCAGUUUACCCAUAAAUGGGUAGUUGAUUUACCCAUAUUUGGGUUUCAUAUGCAUUACCCAUAAUAUGGGUAAAAUAUACCUUUGAAAAACGGUCAAAUUUACCCAUAUUAUAGGUAAAACCGCUAUACCCAAAUAUGGGUAAAUGAACUUACCCAUAUUUGGAUUAAAAUUUUCAAGUUAGCAACUUUUCUCGGAAUGCAUUAGUGCGCCAUCAUAACACUAUCGGGAAAUUUUAGAUAUUUUGAUUUCUACGGCACCGCUAGCCAGUCGAGGUCCUCGAGCAUCGGGUUUAAUGACCGAUACCACGUCCAUCGGAUUCCCACGCGGGUUAGAGUCGAGGUUCCCAUAUACAUUGAUAUUUUAAUCGGUUUGGUACACGAAAAUAAUGCAGGAGCAACAAAUCAUCAUGUAGAGCUAAAUACAAGAAAGGCUACAAAAGCAUGGAAUUUGCAGUUCCGACUGCACUGAGGCUUCAAGCGCCGGAAGAACGGGAAACGGAAGAACAACUGCGCGAUGAACAACAGCCGGAGGGGGAAAUUACAUACAUGGAUCAUUAUGAAAACUUCAAGGAGCUCCGUCUCGGAUCGUCUGUUUUCCAGGAUGAAAGUGAUUAAGAGUAUUCGAAAUAUGUAAAAAUUUAAUACUAAUUUUCGUUUAAUAAUUAUAUUGCAAUAAACUAAAAAAAUGCAAAAUUUUGUAUAAAUUAAUUAAAUGAUAAAUACAAAAUAGUUAACAGUUCAAAAAUAUAAGAAAAGUCGAAAAGUAAACACGGUGAAAUUACUCAUUUAUGAGUAAAUCGAUUUACUCAUUUUUUACAAAAGGCACUUUACCCAUCGACUAAACCGACGUGCGACUCGAUUCCGGAACAUGACCGAAAACAUUACACGAUAAAUUCAAAUAGCAGUGAUCGCAAAUGUCAAAUUAAAAGUGACGUUUGGCCCGUCAUAACAUCUAAUGCAGCCGACGUCGCGGCGUCUUGAUCAAACGCUUUGUAAACAAAAACACGUGAUGGCCAUUAUUGUCAAUAUAUGGCUUCACGUUGCCUCUGAAUGAAACAUUAUGGGUUAUUAAAGCAUUUUAGGAAGUAUUAACGAUCGAGUUAAAUGUCUGAACCUGAAAAUAAAUUAAUCCGAACAUUGGUGGCUGUUACCAUCUGCACACUAUAUUCCCAUCGGACUGAGCAAGCGUCGUGACAAUGUUUCUGCUCCUGCUGGCUGCAGUACGGCGAAGGCAUAACCACCGACGACGGCGACGCCACGGAACACAAACAUGCACUCUACAUUCAAACCAAUCAAAGUAUGAAAUUCUGUCUUUUGCGCUCCCAAAAUGUUUUGCUUUGAACAGAACUCGUGAAUUUAUCUUUUUUCAGGGAAUCACGAGGAAUGUUGGUAUUGUCGCGCUUAUCUUAGAUUCUCAGCAAGCUGCGUUCGAAACGCGCAGCCUCAGAUCGCGCCAGACCGCGCACGUAUGAUUUGUACACGGUGUGCACCUUGGCUAAAACUGUUUUGCAGCCGCCGGGUGGAGCUGUCAGCCGCCGUGUACAAAUCAAACGGGCGCAAUCUUAUGGCGGCUGACUCAGAUCAGCAGGAUCUGAGUGAUUAAGCUAGGAUGCACAAUAAUGUCUAUAAAAUAAACAGCAUUGUCCAAUGCUUACAAAAACUUGUUCGUUGCAACACAACUAUGCAUGGCAUUAUUUGAGAGUGCUCAAAAUAUUUCGGCAAAAAUAGUUCUGAACCAAAACCAACAGAUGGCGCUAGUUCAGUUCGCAACGGUUUUAAUUUUAAAUCUUUGGACGAACAUUUCAUGAACCUUUGCACUAGGAAGCACGUCGGUUCGUCGGUGCUUUACCCAUAUAUGAGUAAUGGGCCUUUACCCAUAAAAUGCGAAUGUGCACUUUUCAGCGAUUAUGGGUAAAGUUUACCCAUAUUUGAGUAAACUGACCUUAGCGUGUUGGGCCAGCACUAUCGCUGGAAAUGCAAUUUACUCAUUUUUUGAGCUGUUCCAGUGUUCCAAAUCUAACUCAUUUUAGAGUAACUUUUUCUUAACGUGUAAGAUUCACACAAAACUGAGCUAAACAAGAACGACUUAAACUGAUGAGAGUUUUGC